UACAGAGGUCUCAAGCGUUGUUCGGAAUCAUUGGGCGUAAAGGGUGCGUAGGCGGCGCGGUAAGUCGGGUGUGAAAUCUCGGAGCUUAACUCCGGAACUGCAUUCGAUACUGCCGUGCUUGAGGACUGGAGAGGAGACUGGAAUUUACGGUGUAGCGGUGAAAUGCGUAGAUAUCGUAAGGAAGACCAGUGGCGAAGGCGGGUCUCUGGACAGUUCCUGACGCUGAGGCACGAAGGUCAGGGGAGCAAACGGG
rnacentral:rRNA from 1 species